rnacentral:rRNA from 1 species
GCGCUGGACCGUGUACAAGUCUCCUGGAACGGAGCGUCAUAGAGGGUGAGAAUCCCGUCUUUGACACGGACUACCAGUGCUCUGUGAUGCGCUCUCAAAGAGUCGAGUUGUUUGGGAAUGCAGCUCAAAAUGGGUGGUGAAUUCCAUCUAAAGCUAAAUAUUGGCGAGAGACCGAUAGCGAACAAGUACCGUGAGGGAAAGAUGAAAAGCACUUUGGAAAGAGAGUUAAACAGUACGUGAAAUUGUUGAAAGGGAAACACUUGAAGUCAGUCGCGUUCCUCGAGACUCAGCCUUGCCUUCCGGCCUGGUGUACUUCUCGUUGAACGGGCCAGCAUCAAUUUUGAUCGUCGGAUAAAGGCGGGAGGAAGGUGGCACCCCUCGGGGUGUGUUAUAGCCUCUCGUCACAUACGACGGUUGGGAUUGAGGACCGCAGCACGCCUUUAUGGUCGGGGUUCGCCCACGUUUCGUGCUUAGGAUGCUGGCGUAAUGGCUUUAAAUGACCCGUCUUGAAACACGGACCAAGGAGUCUAACAUGCCCGCGAGUGUUCGGGUGGAAAACCCGUGCGCGUAAUGAAAGUGAAAGUUGGGACCUCUGUCGUGGAGGGCACCGACGCCCGGACCAGACCUUCUGUGACGGAUCUGCGGUAGAGCGUGUAUGUUGGGACCCGAAAGAUGGUGAACUAUGCCUGAAUAGGGUGAAGCCAGAGGAAACUCUGGUGGAGGCUCGUAGCGAUUCUGACGUGCAAAUCGAUCGUCAA